CAUGGGCUCCUAUACCUCAAAAAAAUACAGGAAGAAAUCAUCAGAUGCAUGACUGAGAAAGAAGGAAGGAAAAUGGAGAACAUAACUGGUUCCUUGCCAAGACUGCUUAAGUGAAGACAAGCAGUAACAACUGGAUUCAUUUUAUGGUAAAAGGAGAAUUGAGGAGGGUCAGCAGCUAAAAGCAAUGAUUUUCUGCAAAGCUGGCGAUUGAGGCAUUAUAAAGAGGAAUGCUACCUUGUACUACUGACAAGGACUUGAUGACAAAGUGUUGCUUCUACCCUGAGGUUCAAAUGGCAGGUUCUGCGCACAGGGAAUAGAGAAUGAGUUAAGCAUUCAACAAACAGUACAGCUCUAUUUGGCUUAGCAAGAUUCCAUUUCACAUAGCACCUGGAAGGUUCAGAAAGUCCAAGGCCACUAUAAUACAAAAAACAGAUGUCAAGAAAAGCAAAAUCAGGAUUGGAAGGAGAAAAUGAACCACGUAAGAAAGCAUUCCAAGGAUAAAUGAUAGCAUUGUUAGAAUUGGAAGGUUGCCAUUUAAUUAGAGUUUGUCUUGUAUAAUCAAUUUAAUGUGUCAACACUGUAUAAUUGCUAUAGAUGGUCAUGAACUACAUGAAUUUAAGAAGAGGUUAUGAUAAUCUUCUUCAAGGUAAGCACCAGAACAAGCAAGGGGAUUGAUUGCAGCUUUAAUCUCGAAAUUUACAGAAUUAUUUUCUUAUUUUUAGAUGUUUUUUGCAAUUAAAGUUGUAUCAGAUGCUGACAUGGUCAAACAAACCUCAAUUUUUUUUCUCUCCUGUGUUUUCCCAUGUAGUUAUAUCUGCCUACAAGAUCAAUAAAGCACAAACAUUUUACCCUGAAUACACAAAGCAAUAAAUUAAAUUCUAUUUUUGGAA